AUUGAACGCUGGCGGCAGGCUUAACACAUGCAAGUCGAGCGGAGUGAUGGUGCUUGCACUAUCACUUAGCGGCGGACGGGUGAGUAAUGCUUAGGAAUCUGCCUAUUAGUGGGGGACAACAUCUCGAAAGGGAUGCUAAUACCGCAUACGUCCUACGGGAGAAAGCAGGGGAUCACUUGUGACCUUGCGCUAAUAGAUGAGCCUAAGUCGGAUUAGCUAGUUGGGGGGGUAAAGGCCUACCAAGGCGACGAUCUGUAGCGGGUCUGAGAGGAUGAUCCGCCACACUGGGGCUGAGACACGGCCCAGACUCCUACGGGAGGCAGCAGUGGGGAAUAUUGGACAAUGGGGGGAACCCUGAUCCAGCCAUGCCGCGUGUGUGAAGAAGGCCUUAUGGUUGUAAAGCACUUUAAGCGAGGAGGAGGCUCUUUUGGUUAAUACCCAAGAUGAGUGGACGUUACUCGCAGAAUAAGCACCGGCUAACUCUGUGCCAGCCGCCGCCGUAA
rnacentral:rRNA from 1 species